AGCUGGUCCUAAGGUAGUGUGUUAUCUCAAUUGAUUGUUCAGUCAGUUACAGAUUGAACUCCUGCUCUAUACUUUCCCUCCUUCUCACUACUGCACUUGACUAGAGCUAG
ensembl:misc_RNA Gm24203 predicted gene, 24203